UACGAAGGGGGGCUAGCGUUGCCUCGGAAUCACUGGGCGUAAAGCGCACGUAGGCGGAUCUUUAAGUCAGGGGUGAAAUCCUGGAGCUCAACUCCAGAACUGCCUUUGAUACUGGGGAUCUCGAGUCCGGAAGAGGUGAGUGGAACUCCGAGUGUAGAGGUGAAAUUCGUAGAUAUUCGGAAGAACACCAGUGGCGAAGGCGGCUCACUGGUCCGGUACUGACGCUGAGGUGCGAAAGCGUGGGGAGCAAACAGG
rnacentral:rRNA from 1 species